rnacentral:rRNA from 1 species
GAUGAACGCUGGCGGCGUGCCUAAUACAUGCAAGUCGAGCGAACAGACGAGGAGCUUGCUCCUCUGACGUUAGCGGCGGACGGGUGAGUAACACGUGGAUAACCUACCUAUAAGACUGGGAUAACUUCGGGAAACCGGAGCUAAUACCGGAUAAUAUAUUGAGCCGCAUGGUUCAAUAGUGAAAGACGGUUUUGCUGUCACUUAUAGAUGGAUCCGCGCCGCAUUAGCUAGUUGGUAAGGUAACGGCUUACCAAGGCAACGAUGCGUAGCCGACCUGAGAGGGUGAUCGGCCACACUGGGACUGAGACACGGUCCAGACUCCUACGGGAGGCAGCAGUAGGGAAUCUUCCGCAAUGGGCGAAAGCCUGACGGAGCAACGCCGCGUGAGUGAUGAAGGUCUUCGGAUCGUAAAACUCUGUUAUUAGGGAAGAACAAAUGUGUAAGUAACUAUGCACGUCUUGACGGUACCUAAUCAGAAAGCCACGGCUAACUACGUG